CUCCCUUGCAGCUAAGCUUGCAACACCAAAAUGGCGACCUCUUCCUCAACUUUCACUCGAAACCCUACUUCCAUUGCCACCUCCUUCAAUUCCAAACUCUCCCUCUCUCUCUUCUCUCCUCGCUCUAUUAAGCUGCCCUACAUUCAUCCACAACCCAUCAUCAACCCCCUUGGCUCCCACGCGCGGCCGCUCCCCGUCCUACGC
rnacentral:misc_RNA from 1 species